UACGUAGGGUGCGAGCGUUAAUCGGAAUUACUGGGCGUAAAGUGUGCGCAGGCGGCCGAGCAAGUCGAGUGUGAAAGCCCCGAGCUUAACUUGGGAACUGCGCUCGAAACUACUUGGCUAGAGUGUGGCAGAGGGAGGUGGAAUUCCACGUGUAGCGGUGAAAUGCGUAGAGAUCGGAAAGAACACCAACGGCGAAAGCAGCUCUCUGGGACGGUACUGACGCUGAGACGCGAAAGCGUGGGGAGCGAACAGG
rnacentral:rRNA from 1 species